GUAGUUUUAAAUUUUCUUUUCAUAUAAAUAUUUUUUCGCGGACUUCGUAAGGUACGCCCGUGCCUUGUGCAGGGUACCUUCGUAGUUUUAAAUUUUCUUUUCAUAUAAAUAUUUUUUCGCGGACUUCGUAAGGUACGCCCGUGCCUUGUGCAGGGUACCUUCGUAGUUUUAAAUUUUCUUUUCAUAUAAAUAUUUUUUCGCGGACUUCGUAAGGUACGCCCGUGCCUUGUGCAGGGUACCUUCGUAGUUUUAAGUAAUACAGAUAAAUGUUGAUUUGAAGAUAUUUAUUUAAUGCAAUUUUUUGUUAAAAAA
rnacentral:lncRNA from 1 species